GGCUCAGUAGCAGAAGGUCUGCAUCUGCCUUCAAUGCAGGGACUCCUUUCUAAUUGUGCAGAUAAUGCCUGUUCGACUUGGGCCUGAGCCA